CGCCUCCAGGCCGUGGGCGCCAGUGGCCUGCUAGCGCCGGAAGGGCCGGGCCUGCGCGCUCCGGGGACUUGCGGGCCGACGGCGCGGGCGCGGGCCCGGCGGGAGGGGCUACGGCUGAUCUGUUUUUCGUUUCCUCUUACACCCUUUCUCAGUGUCAUCCUGAACACCGGAAGGUGCAGCGGCAGGGCUACGGACAGACCCACCCACUCUGCCCCUCUGUUGUGUGGCCACGAGGACGCCCAUUCCUCUCUGGACUCCACCCAUUAAAGCGGUUUCAGGCUCUUCGGCUCUAGAUGCAGAGGUUCUCAGGGUUGGCUGGAAGCCACAGCCCAGUCUCCUGAUGCAGUCUGAAUCCAGCCGGUGUGAAGAGGAAACUCCUUCCCUCUCGUGGGGUUUGGAUCCUGUGUUUCUAGCCUUCGCCAAACUCUACAUCAGGGAUAUCCUGGACUUGAAGGAGUCCCACCAGGUGCCAGGUGUAUUUUUUUACAGUGGGCAUCCAAUAAAACAGGUAGAUAUCUUGGGAACUGUAAUUGGAGUGAGAGAAAGAGAUGCUUUCUACAUUUGUGGAGUGGAUGAUAGCACUGGAGUUAUAAACUGCAUCUGCUGGAAGAAAUUGAAUAAUACCAGAUCCUCAUCAGCUGCUCCGAGUGCAAGAGAGCUGAGCUUAACCUCACAGCUUAAGAAGCUGCAAGAUACCAUUGCGCAGAGGACAAAGGUAGAAAUUGGGGACAUUAUCCGGAUCAGAGGUCACAUCCGCAUGUACAGAGGAGAGCGAGAAAUUUACGCCACAGCUUAUUAUAAAGUGGAUGAUCCAGUGUGCAACAUUCAGAUCGCAAGGAUGCUUGAGCUGCCCACCAUCUACAGGAAAGUUUAUGACCAGCCCUUCCGCAGCCCAGCCCUAGAGAAAGAAGAGGCACUGAGCAGCAAUCCAGGCACCCUGGACCUUGACAGUCUCACGUAUCUGCUGAGUGAAAAAGUCAAAGAAUUCCUUGUGGAGAACAGAGUGCAAACCUUUUACCAGCAGGAGUUGGAAACGGUGGAGUCCCUGCUGUCCCUUGCCAACCAGCCUGUGAUUCACAGCGACUGCUCCGGGCGAAUGGAUUUUAAGAAUGACACCACUUCCAAGGCAAUUCAUAGUAUAUUUAGGAACGCUAUAAAGCUGCUGCAGGAAGAAGGACUUGUUUUCCAGAAAGAUGGUGGUUUUGAUAACCUAUUCUAUGUAACCAGAGAAGACAAAGAGUUACACAGAAAGAUCCACCAGAUCAUUCAAGAAGACUGCCAGAAACCAAACCCAACAGAAGAACUAUGAGAAGUUGAGGGAAGCUCUUGGAAAACUCUCCGGGGCUACAGUUGGGUCACCGCUCAUGUACCAAAGAGCAACCAAGGGGUUCGCCUGAAAAGGAGGGAAGCUGAGCAGACAUCCUCCCCCUCUCUCGUGUGCCAGGACACUGGCUGGGAGAGCGCCGAGCGGAAAGAAGUCUAUUCAGUGAUGAGGAACCCAAGACUUGGUGCCAAGGAUGAAAACCAAGCAAACUUGGAAUUUUCCACUGGAGAAAACAUCCACACUUUUUUAUUAGCUUGGUCUCUUCUCUACAAGUGGCCUGUAGAGCAACUGCUCCCAGAAAAGCACCUCAUUGUUUCCUUACUAGAUUUACAAGAAGCACACAGGCAAACUCAGGAAGACCGUGGUGAGGCUUGCUGGAGAAGACAGCAGCAGGCACUGGGGAGAGAAGCAGGACCAACCUGAAGGGAAAUCAUGUCUGUGGACAAAGAACCUUGCAAUAGAGUUUUUGUUUGCAUAACAGUCUACUGAUUGAGGCUCUAAAUGUGAUCCCAAACUCCCACAUAAGUGAGUUUUUACUUAAUCCAGAAUUUAAAAAAAAAAAAACAGCCUAUUUUUAUUGAACUUUUAUUAGGUAAACCCAAACAGAUCAGUCCCAGGGUUUACGUGUUCACAAGAAUUCUAAAUCAAACCCCAAAUUCCUGAAGAGACUCCAGCCUCUCCCUGUAUGUCCAAUUAAAAAGAUAGGUUUGGGCUUCCCUGGUGGCGCAGUGGUUGAGAGUCCGCCUGCCGAUGGAGGGGAUACGGGUUCAUGCCCCAGUCCGGGAAGAUCCCACAUGCCGCGGAGCGGCUGGGCCCGUGAGCCAUGGCCGCUGAGCCUGCGUGUCCAGAGCCUGUGCUCCGCAGCGGGAGAGGCCACAACAGUGAGAGGCCCGUGUACUGCAAGAAAAGAAAAAAAAAGAUAGGUUUUACUUUGAAACAUCAAAAGAGGAAUUUUGAAGACCGCAUAAUAGCCCUAGUUUUUUUUUUAGAUAGAAACAGUAAAGUGGUGUCUCAUUAAUUCAGACUGAUGUGGUGAAAAGUUUGUGUAAACUAGUGAGAAACCUGGGUUUGAAAUAGUGCCAUUUUAUGGCUUUCGGUCUACCCAGUGUUUCAUAUUAUGUCUGAAUUACUAUAAGGGAACAGGUUUGCUGCUCUGAGGAAAGCUGCUUUAAUGAAUAAGAAUUAUUUAAAUUAUAUAUCAUUUGUUAUUAUUCAGUAUCAUUUAAUUUUUAUGUAUUAUGUACCAUUUAAUAUCAAUAGGUGAUUUUAAAGUACUUGAAUUUAAGAGAUUUGAAAACAUACAUCCAUACAAAAGCCUGUACACAAAUGUUCACAGCAGUAUUAUUCCUAAUAACCAAAAAGUGGAAACUACCCAAAUGUCCAACUACUAAUGAAUGGAUAAAAAGAUGUGGUAUAUUCAUACAGUGGAACAUUAUUCAGCCAUAAAAAGGAAUGAGGUACUGAUACAUGUUACAGCAUGGAUGAACCUUGAAAACAGUAUGCUAAGUGAAAGAAGUCAGAUACAAGAGGCCACAUGUUGUGUGAUUCCAUUUAUAUGAAGUGUGCAGAACGGGCAAAUCCAUGAAGACAAAAAAUAGAUUAGUAGGGGCAGGAGGAGAGUUGGUGGUACAGGGUUUCUUUUUGGGGUGACAGAAAUUUUCUGGAAUUAGGUAGUGAUGAUGUAUGCGUGACCCUGAAUAUACCCAAAACCACUGAAAUGUGGGUUAGGUUGGGAUUCCUCACAGUGUGCCCUGUUCCCAGGGCGGGCAUCCCAAGGAAGAGCACACCCCAGACGGAAGCCGCAUGGCCAUUUUGUGCAGAGCCCCAGAAGCCGCACAGUGUCACUUCCAUGGCAUUCUGAUUGUCAGGGCUGUCGCAGAGUCACAAGCCCACCCACACUUUGUGAGGUCAACAGUCUUCAUCAGUGUGCAUCUGGUAGGUAAAAACAAUUUCUGGGUUUUGUUUACAUUUUUACGUCUUUAGGUAUGAGUGGCGUCAAGCAUCAGUUCAUUCCAGGCAACAUUUAGACAGAUGCAUUAUGCCCUGGACGUUAGCCAUUGCUUCCAGCAGAGGCUGAGGGAGGCCCGAGUCGUAUGUUCUAGCAGCGGUGUCAGCUGCAGAAACAGUCCAAGGCCGGACACUGAGGUCCUAGCUAAUACACAGCUGGAAUAAACAUCCUGAAGAACUCAAACCUCAGUGUUCCCAAUUUGCUACUUCAAGUGCUUGGACACAUGCCUGCCCAAAUGUUAUAUAAUACACGAAGGCAGCAAUCUUUUAAAAACCAAUCACCAUAUUAUGAACUGAGACCUCUCAUAAACCAGACGCCAUUCAGCUCUGGUUCAGUGACUCUGUCCCCAGCCAGAUAAAUGUGAAAAACUAAGCAUGUUUUUAAGAAAGUGCUAAUUAAGUGGAGAAGAUAGUUUUCGUAAUAGAAAUGGUCUUAAUGCUGCUUCCACUUUAAUCAGCAUAGCCUAAUUAUCAUAAUAAGGCAAUGCUUGCAUUUUCGUCAUUGACUGGGGUUUGGUACAGUUAAUUGGGCAACACCCAUUUUGGUAAUCUUCUUGGCUAGAAAUUGCAUCCUCAGGGAGAAGCUUUUUCAUUUUUGUUCUGAGGACAAAUCAGUGAAUGGAGGAAGUAAAGUAGGGGUGAGGACAGAGCAUCCUUCCAUUGUUUUCAGCUCUACUUUAGAGCAAAGCAACAGCAGUGUCACAUAAGCUGUGAUACGUGGCACAGUUAACUUGUGAUAAGUACUGAGUUUUCUCAUGCACUGAAAUUUGUGAAUGAUUAGUCUAUUCUAAUAUAAAUUUGGUGGCAGAAUAAUAUAUUGAGCUGUUAGCAUGGGAUUUGUUUUUCCUGUCUUUUACUUCUUCCGAGCAAGAGGCCAGCCUUGCCUCCGGGAGGUUUGGUUUGGAGGCCAAAUCCAGAAGUUGUUUGUGCAGACAAGCUGACUUAUGUUUUCUGGAAGCCUGGAGCCUGGGAGGGAUUGGAGAUUAGUGGGCUCCAGGCAUUGCAGACCAGAAUGUGCUGCCCAUGGUGCCUGCAGCAGGUGGCAGGUUGGCAGGACUUCUGUGGAGAGGUUCUGCAGUGUCUCUUGCAGACUUAAAGCUUUGGCCUGUGAUCCCCAGCUUCAGCUGAGAUUCCCAAGCUUGGAACGGAAGCUUCUGCAAGCCUCCUCCGCUAAAGGGACCCACUGGGGAUAUCAGCAGAAGACUUGGUCUCAGAAGAGUGGACACAUCACCUAUUUUCCAGGCACCACGUACCCUCUUAUGUGAUGGUUUUUCACGCAUCUCUAGAGAAGGGGAGAGCCGGCCCCACCCAACUACUACCAAAAUUAUUUUCUUUCCAGCACAGAGAAUGAAGGCGCCAAGCCCCAGCUAACUUGAAAUUAAAAAAGGAAUAUGAUGUCUCACCCAUCUGAGUUUUGGGGGUAGGAUUCAUCUCACUACAGUUAGAAUCAAGUCAAGGUGAAUUUUUGAACAAGGUCACAUUCCCACCCACUUGCAUUCCAGAAUGGUCUCUUAGUGGUAAAGAAAGGUACAGUGUCAUGGUAAGGUUCCAGGGAAAUUGCUCAUGACCCUCCCACAGAGCACACUACGCACGCAAACCACCAGUCCUGCGGCACUGUGGAAACAAUUGGAAAUCACCGCCUCAGAGGAUGGGGGAGGGCAAUGUGAUAAGAGUUUGUUAUGCUUCCUCAGUGAGGUCCACCUUAUCAUGAACUGAAAAUAUCACCGUGUCCUGCAACCAUCAUGUAUGCUGAUCAGCCAGAGGUGACCUGGACCACGCAGGCAAGUGAGCAAAGAGGAUCUAACUUAGGAGAAGGCUCCAAACCACCUGAACAGUGCGUCUUCUCCCAACAUGAAGAAGCUUGAAAAGGCCUGACUCAUCCAGCAGCCAGCCCAGCCCAGCACCUCAGGAAGAGUCAGCAAGCAGCCUGUGUGGUUUCUGUCCAGUCCUAGCUUGUCUUGACCUGGUGGAGGGCAAGAAAUAGAAACGCCGCUCCUGAUAAUGGCAGGCGCCUUGAGAAUGCUGGUAUCAGCACCCCGUCAGGGGCUGGGCUGUCAGCCCAAGCACACACCCCGUUGGGGCGAGCCUGAGAGUGCGAGUCAUCUGCCUUUUCUGUCCAUUUCUUGUGGACCCAGGUAACCAGGGAAAAUGGGAGGUGGGCGUGUUCUGAACCUAUAGCCAGCUGAACUCUGGGACUUAACUAGACUUAACUAGCUGUUCCCACGUGUCCCCUCAGAGGUUGCCCACAUCACAGUUCACCUGGAAUUCUGUGAUGGGCCCAGCAGUAGGCACAGAGUGGUGCUUGAUAAAUGUUUCAGUGGAUGGGCAGUGUACUUAUUGAGUGACAACUGUGUGCAAGGCAUUGUGCUAGGUGUAGAGGGGAUGCCGAGACAAAGCUCCAACCCUGUCUGCAGGGAACUUUCAGUCAAGUGGAUCAUAGGCACAUGCCUACAUGACUUAAAACCCAUGGGUGCACAUGGUAUUGUUUGACCCUUGGAGUUUAAAAAUAUUAAAACUAUUAUGGUUAAAAAUAUUAAACCAACAUAAAAAAAUUAGCUACCAUCUGUAUUUUUUUUUUAAAUGUAGUGUGUGUAGUGUAGUUUGAAAGACCACAGAAGAAACUGGUAUCAGGGUUGGCCUCUUCAGAUAGGGAAUUGGGAGCGGGGAGUGGGCAGCAGAUUGAUUGCAAUGUUUUGUAAUAUUUUUAUUGGGUAAAAUGCUAUACCUCUACAAAUAAACAAACAAAAAAGGG